rnacentral:rRNA from 1 species
GACAGAGGGCUCGAGCGUUAGGCGGAAUCACUGGGCUUAAAGCGUGUGUAGGCGGACUUGUAAGUACCUUGUGAAAUCCCACGGCUCAACCGUGGAACUGCUUGGUAUACUGCUUGUCUUGGGCCAGCUAGAGGUUACCGGAACAAACGGUGGAGCGGUGAAAUGCGUAGAUAUCGUCAGGAAUGCCGGUGGUGAAGACGGGUGACUGGGCUGGUUCUGACACUGAGGCACGAAAGCGUGGGGAGCGAACGGG